rnacentral:rRNA from 1 species
AGUGAACGCUGGCGGUAGGCCUAACACAUGCAAGUCGAACGGCAGCACAGUAAGAGCUUGCUCUUACGGGUGGCGAGUGGCGGACGGGUGAGGAAUACAUCGGAAUCUACUUUUUCGUGGGGGAUAACGUAGGGAAACUUACGCUAAUACCGCAUACGACCUACGGGUGAAAGCAGGGGAUCUUCGGACCUUGCGCGAUUGAAUGAGCCGAUGUCGGAUUAGCUAGUUGGCUGGGUAAAGGCCCACCAAGGCGACGAUCCGUAGCUGGUCUGAGAGGAUGAUCAGCCACACUGGAACUGAGACACGGUCCAGACUCCUACGGGAGGCAGCAGUGGGGAAUAUUGGACAAUGGGCGCAAGCCUGAUCUAGCCAUACCGCGUGGGUGAAGAAGGCCUUCGGGUUGUAAAGCCCUUUUGUUGGGAAAGAAAAGCAGCAGGUUAAUACCCCGCUGUUCUGACGGUACCCAAAGAAUAAGCACCGGCUAACUUCGUG